GACGAACGCUGGCGGCGUGCUUAACACAUGCCAGUCGAACGGAAAGGCCCUGCUUUUGUGGGGUGCUCGAGUGGCGAACGGGUGAGUAACACGUGAGUAACCUGCCCUUGACUUUGGGAUAACUUCAGGAAACUGGGGCUAAUACCGGAUAGGAGCUCCUGCUGCAUGGUGGGGGUUGGAAAGUUUCGGCGGUUGGGGAUGGACUCGCGGCUUAUCAGCUUGUUGGUGGGGUAGUGGCUUACCAAGGCUUUGACGGGUAGCCGGCCUGGGAGGGUGACCGGCCACAUUGGGACUGAGAUACGGCCCAGACUCCUACGGGAGGCAGCAGUGGGGAAUAUUGCACAAUGGGCGGAAGCCUGAUGCAGCAACGCCGCGUGCGGGAUGAAGGCCUUCGGGUUGUAAACCGCUUUCGCCUGUGACGAAGCGUGAGUGACGGUAAUGGGUAAAGAAGCACCGGCUAACUACGUG
rnacentral:rRNA from 1 species